UGCAUCUGAUGAAUUUGCAACACAGAUAGUUAAUUUCAUAUCUCGGAACUGUAUAGGGCCUCAUGGAGUUGAGAUUGGUAUCAAUAUUCCUUUCUGUUACAAAUUAAAUGCAUGAGGAAAGGGCUUAUAGGAACGCCAUCUAAUAUGGCAAAAAAAAAAAAGUUUCAGAUACCUGGGCUCCGUCGACCAUCACAGCCACAAUUUUGAAUGAUGUUGGAUAUAUAAAUAGUUUCAUCUAUUUUGGAGGAUGUUGCAGAGAACAUAUGCAAUGCAUUCAGCAUCACAUGCCAAAUCAUUAAUAAAUAUGUUUAGAGGCUUCCUUUCUUUAGUUUUAACAAAUUUCUGAUGUAAUAAUCAAGGCAUGUAACUUUGAAGUGAUAUAAUUACACUAAUGUACUUAGUAUAAUCUAUGAUGGUAAAUUUCACAUUGGUUAGCUUUUUCUUGGCCAAAGGAUGUUUACAUUGUUACAUUUACAUUUUUCUGCUUAUGUACUGAAAUUUAUUCUCAGCAAGUUCAAUACACAGAAAAUAGCAUUUUCAUUCUUACUUUUUGUUGUCUUUUGUUUCUUAUUUUCUCUCUGGUGCUAACUUAAUGGUAAAGUUGCGUCAUCUGUGAUGUGAAAGUCACGAGUUCGAGUCAUGAAAACAGUCUCUACAAAGCAAAAGUAAAUUUGCAUACAUCAACGCUUUUUAGAGCUCACAAGUGUGGGAUAUUUAGUGCAUUGUCAUUCUUCUUGAUUGCGGUAACUGCAAAACAUUUAUUCUUAUAUAUUUUCAAA
rnacentral:misc_RNA from 1 species